GACAGAGGAUGCAAGCGUUAUCCGGAAUGAUUGGGCGUAAAGCGUCUGUAGGUGGCUUUUUAAGUCCGCCGUCAAAUCCCAGGGCUCAACCCUGGACAGGCGGUGGAAACUACCAAGCUGGAGUACGGUAGGGGUAGAGGGAAUUUCCAGUGGAGCGGUGAAAUGUGUAGAUAUUGGAAAGACCACCGAUGGCGAAGGCACUCUACUGGGCCAUGACUGACACUGAGAGACGAAAGCUAGGGGAGCAAAUGGG
rnacentral:rRNA from 1 species